UACGUAGGGUGCAAGCGUUGUCCGGAAUUAUUGGGCGUAAAGGGCUCGUAGGCGGUUUGUCGCGUCGGGAGUGAAAACUUGGGGGCUUAACCCCCAAGCCUGCUUCCGAUACGGGCAGACUUGAGUACUGCAGGGGAGACUGGAAUUCCUGGUGUAGCGGUGAAAUGCGCAGAUAUCAGGAGGAACACCGGUGGCGAAGGCGGGUCUCUGGGCAGUAACUGACGCUGAGGAACGAAAGCGUGGGUAGCAAACAGG
rnacentral:rRNA from 1 species